CGUUUUUGGAGGCAUUGCCUGCCCAGUGACAACUGUUUAACGGCCGCGGUAUCCUGACCGUGCAAAGGUAGCAUAAUCAUUUGUUCUCUAAAUAAGGACUUGUAUGAAUGGCCGCACGAGGGUUUUACUGUCUCUUACUUCCAAUCAGUGAAAUUGACCUUCCCGUGAAGAGGCGGGAAUGCACAAAUAAGACGAGAAGACCCUAUGGAGCUUUAACUAACCAACCCAAAGAGAAUAGAUUUAACCAUUAAGGAAUAACAACAAUCUCCAUGAGUUGGUAGUUUCGGUUGGGGUGACCUCGGAGAAUAAAAAAUCCUCCGAGCGAUUUUAAAGACUAGACCCACAAGUCAAAUCACUCUAUCGCUCAUUGAUCCAAAAACUUGAUCAACGGAACAAGUUACCCUAGGGAUAACAGCGCAAUCCUAUUCAAGAGUCCAUAUCGACAAUAGGGUUUACGACCUCGAUGUUGGAUCAGGACAUCCUGAUGGUGCAACCGCUAUCAAAGGUUCGUUUGUUCAACGAUUAAAGUCCUACGUGAUCUGAGUUCAGACCGG
rnacentral:rRNA from 1 species